AUUGAACGCUGGCGGCAUGCCUUACACAUGCAAGUCGAACGGUAACAGGUCUUCGGAUGCUGACGAGUGGCGAACGGGUGAGUAAUACAUCGGAACGUGCCCGAUCGUGGGGGAUAACGAAGCGAAAGCUUUGCUAAUACCGCAUAAGAUCUACGGAUGAAAGCAGGGGACCGCAAGGCCUUGCGCGAACGGAGCGGCCGAUGGCAGAUUAGGUAGUUGGUGGGAUAAAAGCUUACCAAGCCGACGAUCUGUAGCUGGUCUGAGAGGACGACCAGCCACACUGGGACUGAGACACGGCCCAGACUCCUACGGGAGGCAGCAGUGGGGAAUUUUGGACAAUGGGCGAAAGCCUGACCAGCCAUGCCGCGUGCAGGAUGAAGGCCUUCGGGUUGUAAACUGCUUUUGUACGGAACGAAAAGACUCUGGUUAAUACCUGGGGUCCAUGACGGUACCGUAAGAAUAAGCACCGGCUAACUACGUG
rnacentral:rRNA from 1 species